CGGCUCCCCUCCCUCACACCAAUCUCUCUCCCCCGACCCUCACCCCGGUUCCUGGAGCCGAGGCAUUAAAAUAGGACCCAAAGAUCAUGCUUAUUUCAACUGUCCCACUCUGGAGCUGAAGAUAGUACAUCUGCAUCCAAAACCAAGGAGUAGAAGACACCUCAUGGUUGAUUUUAAUUUCUAAAGGGCCAGGUAUUUAAAGUGAUGAAGUGCCAGAGAAUUAAUGAAAAAUACCAAGAGGACUGAUGAGUUUAAGGGCACGUGUGCUCAAAAUAUUCCCCUGAAGACUGUUUUUAAGAGCUCUGCAGACCAGAAUGCCAACCUUUGGUGUGAACUGCAAUGGGUUUCCAAUGUUUCCUGCAGAAAGCUGGGAAGUGGCAUUAAAUAGAAGAUUGGUACAACAGUACAGAAUGAGUCUUUGGACAUUCUACAGUACAGCACAAUCCCACCUCAAAAUAUGUGGACAGUGUGAAGAAUAACAUGGAUAUGUAUUGACCUCUUCACUGUCAAGGGCCUCAUAAGAACCCACCUUGUCCAGGAGCCCUCCUCAUUUAAUUCACAAUCCCUGAGCCACGCCAACACAACAACCACUUUAGCGCUUUCAUAGUUUAAUCCCAUCCUCAGCAUUUCUGUACCUGGGUAUAUCAGUGAUUUAUUUACUCAAUUCAUACUGACAUGUUUGGACUACUGCUAUUAUAUGCUUGUUUUUCCUCCUGUUCUCCCCAUUUGUCAAUUUCGUUUUGACUCUGUUUACCCUACUAGAUUGUAAACUCUUUGAGUGGCAAAGAACAGUAGCCUUGCUUCUGCUGUCACAUACCAAGAGCUUAGUACAGUGCUUUAUGUUCAGCAGGCCAUCAAUAAAUACCAUUGAUGAUGAUCGUCUGCUUUUAAAAACAAUCUAUUUCUUGGAUUUUUGUGGAUUAAUUUUGUGUAUCUUUUCUACAAGGAAGGGCUAAUGACUCAAAUUGCUUGCACAAAUUACCACUGAUACAUCUUAUUUGUCUCAAGAAAGAGUGUAUAGAUGUUA